AGUGAACGCUGGCGGUAGGCCUAACACAUGCAAGUCGAACGGCAGCACAGUAAGAGCUUGCUCUUACGUGUGUCGCGUGUCGGACGGGUGCGUAAUACAUCGGAAUCUACUUUUUCGUUUGGGCUAACGUAGGGAAACUUACGCUAAUACCGCAUACGUCCUACUUGUGUAAGCACGCGAUCUUCGGACCUUGCGCGAUUGUAUGAGCCUAUGUCGGAUUCGCUAGUUGGCGGGUUAAAGGCCCACCAAGGCGACGGUCCGUAUCUAGUCUGACAGGAUGUUCAGACAGACUGGAAGAGAGACAGAGUAGAGACUCCUAAAGGAAGAAACGGUGGGGAAUAUUGGACAAUGGGGGCAAGCCUGAUACAGCCAUACCGCGUGAGUGAAGAAGGACUUAGGGUUGUAAAGCCAUUUUGUUGGGAAAGAAAAGAAGCAGGUUAAUACCACGCUGUUAUGACGGUACCGAAAGAAUAAGCACCGGCUAACUUCGUG
rnacentral:rRNA from 1 species